rnacentral:tRNA from 1 species
GGACAAGUAGCUCAGAUGGAAGAGCACUCGCCUGUCACGCUAGAGGUCAUAGGUUCGAGUCCUAUCUUGUCCG